AGAGUUUGAUCAUGGCUCAGAACGAACGCUGGCGGCGUGGAUUAGGCAUGCAAGUCGAACGCGAAAGGGGAGCAAUCCCCGAGUAGAGUGGCGAACGGGUGAGUAACACGUGAGAAACCUGCCUUCAGCAGGGGGAUAACACUCCCAACGGGGUGCUAAUACCGCAUGAGACCACGGGGUCGCAUGGCCCUGAGGUCAAAGGUGGCCUCUGCUUGCAAGCUACCGGCUGAAGAUGGUCUCGCGUCCCAUUAGCUAGUUGGUGGGGUAAUGGCCUACCAAGGCGACGAUGGGUAGCUGGUCUGAGAGGAUGGUCAGCCACACUGGGACUGAGAUACGGCCCAGACUCCUACGGGAGGCAGCAGUCGAGAGGCUUUGGCAAUGGGGGCAACCCUGACCAAGCGACGCCGCGUGGAGGAUGAAGGCCCUUGGGUUGUAAACUCCUUUUGUUGGGGAAGAAACGCGAUCAGGUGAACAAUCUGGUCGUUUGACGGUACCCGACGAAUAAGCUCCGGCUAACUCCGUGCCAGCAGCCGCGGUAACACGGGGGGAGCAAGCGUUGUUCGGAAUCACUGGGCGUAAAGGGCGUGUAGGCGGUCGAGUAAGUGGAAUGUGAAAUGCCCCGGCUCACCCGGGGACCUGCAUUCCAAACUGCUUGGCUCGAGUAUGGGAGAGGAUGAGGGAAUUCCUGGUGUAGCGGUGAAAUGCGUAGAUAUCAGGAGGAACACCGGUGGCGAGAGCGCUCAUCUGGCCCAAUACUGACGCUGAGGCGCGAAAGCUAGGGGAGCAAACGGGAUUAGAUACCCUAGUAGUCC
rnacentral:rRNA from 1 species